rnacentral:rRNA from 1 species
CGGACGGGUGAGUAAUGUCUGGGAAACUGCCUGAUGGAGGGGGAUAACUACUGGAAACGGUAGCUAAUACCGCAUAAUGUAGCAAGACCAAAGAGGGGACCUUCGGGCCUCUUGCCAUCAGAUGUGCCCAGAUGGGAUUAGCUUGUUGGUGGGGUAACGGCUCACCAAGGCGACGAUCCCUAGCUGGUCUGAGAGGAUGACCAGCCACACUGGAACUGAGACACGGUCCAG